rnacentral:rRNA from 1 species
GAUGAACGCUGGCGGCGUGCCUAAUACAUGCAAGUCGAACGCUGAAGGAGGAGCUUGCUCUUCUGGAUGAGUUGCGAACGGGUGAGUAACGCGUAGGUAACCUGCCUGGUAGCGGGGGAUAACUAUUGGAAACGAUAGCUAAUACCGCAUGACAACAGUUAUUGCAUGAUAACUGUUUAAAAGGGGCAACUGCUCCACUACCAGAUGGCCCUGCGUUGUAUUAGCUAGUUGGUGAGGUAACGGCUCACCAAGGCGACGAUACAUAGCCGACCUGAGAGGGGGAUCGGCCACACUGGGACUGAGACACGGCCCAGACUCCUACGGGAGGCAGCAGUAGGGAAUCUUCGGCAAUGGACGGAAGUCUGACCGAGCAACGCCGCGGGAGUGAAGAAGGGUGUCGGAUCGUAAAGCUCGGUUGUAAGAGAAGAACGAGUGUGAGAGUGGAAAGUUCACACUGUGACGGUAGCUUACCAGAAAGGGACGGCUAACUACGUG